AUUGAACGCUGGCGGCAUGCCUUACACAUGCAAGUCGAACGGUAACAGGUCUUCGGAUGCUGACGAGUGGCGAACGGGUGAGUAAUGCGUCGGAACGUGCCGAGUAGUGGGGGAUAACGCAUCGAAAGGUGUGCUAAUACCGCAUACGUACUGAGGUAGAAAGUGGGGGACCUUCGGGCCUCACGCUAUUCGAGCGGCCGACGUCUGAUUAGCUAGUUGGUGAGGUAAAGGCUCACCAAGGCGACGAUCAGUAGCGGGUCUGAGAGGAUGAUCCGCCACACUGGGACUGAGACACGGCCCAGACUCCUACGGGAGGCAGCAGUGGGGAAUUUUGGACAAUGGGCGCAAGCCUGAUCCAGCCAUGCCGCGUGUCUGAAGAAGGCCUUCGGGUUGUAAAGGACUUUUGUCCGGGAGCAAAUACCCAGUGCUAAUAACGCUGGGGGCUGAGAGUACCGGAAGAAUAAGCACCGGCUAACUACGUGCCAGCAGCCGCCGUAAUAC
rnacentral:rRNA from 1 species